GACGAACGCUAGCUACAGGCCUAAUACAUGCAAGUCGAGCGACCGGCGCACGGGUGAGUAACACGUAUCCAACCUGCCCUUUACCAGGGGAGAGCCUUUCGAAAGAAAGAUUAAUACCCGAUAUAAACGAUGGGGAUGCGUUGAAUUAGGUUGGUGGUGAGGUAACGGCUCACCAAGACUGCGAUGGAGAGGGGUUCGGAGAGGAAGGUACCCCAGAUGGGAACUGAGACACGGUCCAAACUCGUACGCGAGGCAGCGGUGAGGAAUAUUGGUCAAUGGGCGCUAGCCUGAACCAGCCAAGUAGCGGAAAGGGUGAAGUCUUAGUAGUCGUAAGUUUUUUGUAUAUAAGAAUAUGUAUUAAAUGAAUAAGGAUCGGCUAACUCCGUGCCAGCAGCCGCGGUAAUUC
rnacentral:rRNA from 1 species